UUUUUCGUCUUUCUUUCCAAAUGGAUAAGGGGGGCCUUUUUUUCUUGGGUCAUCAUCACAAAGAAUAAAAUAUUUAUACACCAUUGCACAUAAUUUUAAUUUUUUGGGGGGAGGGACCCUCAGAGAACACAAUAUUCUCUCCGUUCUUUAUAUAUAUUUCACACAGGCCCUCCUCAUCAGAGAGUAACAACAAUACCCAUACACUGACCUCACCGUCACACACCCAUAUACACUACACACUCUUAAUUCCACCGGGAUACACGCAGAAAUGGAUAGAUAAGAGAUGACGUGAGAAAGAGAGAGCUGCGAGAGAGUGAGAGAGAUCUGCGAGAGAGUGACAGAGAUUUGCAACGGAGGGAGAGAUUCGCGAUUGAAAUCGAAAGAGAAUGAUGGUGAAGUAGUUUCCGGCGAGUGAGAGCUUGAGGAACACGAGUUUGGUGGUUUGAUUACUGUUCUGGCGACAGGCUCACCGGAAUCGCGUCUAGCUAUCAUAAAUUCGUUCAAAACCCAUCGAAUACGUCUCAACUGAUAGCUCUUUGUCGUUUUGGUCAUAGCCGAAGUUUACCGGGGUUACACCUACACAAAAUCAUCAAAAAAACCUCGAUCUACUUUUGAUUCCGUCCAAACCCAUUGGAAUCGGGCUGAAUUUCUCUUAUUUCUCACGAUUUUUAGUUUGAGGUUGUGUGUGUUCGUGAGAAUCUGGUCCAGGUCUCUUUGUUUCUAUGAUUCUCAGUUCCGAGUUGGAUGAGUUUGUUUGUUUGAGGUUCGUUUGUUUGAGGUUCGAUUCAAGGUUUCCGGGCGCGGAUUCUCUUUAUUCAAAUAACAGAGUUUGAAAGCUACGAAUCGAGGUCCAAUUCUAUUAUCUCUCUUUUUAUUUCAUUAUUUACUGUAUUUUGGUGUGUUGGAUUAAAUAUUGUGUGUUUUGUUUUAUCCUUGUUGGUGAUGAACGGAUUUUUAUUUUGAUUCGCGGUUGGUUUCUUUGAUUAUGAUUUGUAUGGUGAAAUAAAAUCUCAUUUGAGAAUUAAAAUUGGUUUUUUGGGGCGGAAUUAAAAUUGAUAAAAGUGAAUACGCAUUUGUUUUAAUUCAUUAUUAGCGGUUUAAUUUGGAAUAACCAUGAAUUUUGUUGAAACAGAUAGGCAAAUGUAGGUUUGGGUAGGCAAAUUUAGAACUUUUUUCUGGUUGAAUGUUUGAAUGUGCGUGGGCUGUACUUGAUUCUAAUGUAUUCAUUUGGUCGGGGAAUGCCCUGAGAGAUUUGUAUUGAUUUAUCCGGAGAAUGCUCCGAAGUAUCAUGUACGCAGAGGAGGCUCGUGAUCAAGGCCCGAGGCAUCGAGUAAGGCAUUGGAACGCAGUUUUAGGAUUAGCUUAAAAUAGGAUUUAUAUUUUAGUAUUUUUCUAAUUAGGACUGUAUAAUUGACUGGACACUAAAUUUUGAAUUGUUUCGUUUUGUUUGCUUGAUUGAUUGUCUUACAUGCUUUGUGUGGUUUAUACAUUUAUAAUGUCAAAUUAACCGAUACGAUCUACCAAGCGACCGUGGUCGAACAACGGGAUCAAGGGGUGCCUAAUACCUUCCCCUCGGUCAACAGAAUUCCUUAGCCGAAAUCUCUAUUCACAAACCAGUUUAAAGAGUCAAAUUGUGUUGAAAGGGAUUUCCAAAGGUGACUUUGUACACCCGAUUUAUGCCAAGUGGCGACUCUGAGUUUUGAUUAUAAGAAGUCCUUUCGGAACAAAUCUUCAUUUUGUCACUUUAAUAAUAAAAACUCUUUCGAACUAAAAUCAAAUCUUAUGAAGUUGUAAAAAAAAAAGGUGUAACAGCUCCGGCGACUCUACUGGGGACUCUUCAGAAUUUGAGUUAUUUUUGGAGUUGUAUCAGCUUAGUUUGGCACUAUAGGUGUAUAGACAUUUUGUUUGAGUUGUUUUGUGUUAUUGUUUAUCAUUGUUGAUAGCCUACGUGCUUUUUGUUUACAAUUUUUAUCAUGUGUUACUGCUUUAUAUCUGGCAUCAUGUGCAUAACCCGAGUCAUUUAUUCUACAACAAGUCCUGGAGUGCGCGUCGUGCACACAAACUCUAGUUGAGUCACCCUUAUUUUAGGAGGGGAAACUGUCGGACGUAUGGAGUGAGUGGAAAGCAAAGCAGCCACUAUCGACCAUAUUCUCCACCGAAUAGCCUUGUUAGUAAACCCUAAUGUAGGUCAGCCUUUAGGUCAUGCUUAUCUACAUUAUAUUGAGACUUAGUGGGACCCACUUGGCCUUUUGUAGGAGACUCACCUCUAAAGCAUCUCUAUGUGCUAAAUGUUGCAACUUUGAGGGUAACUUGAUCAUUUGAUGGACUCAUUCGGAGAAAACAUUUGUUAGAAGUAAGAUGCGUUUUAAAAAAAGGAAGAAAAAAGUGAGUCGAAAAGUAAAAAAAUGAGUUUCGUAGUUUUUAGAAUUCUUUAUGGCUUUUGUUUUUCACAAUCCAAAAUUUCAAAAAUAUUUUUUUUUACCUUUUGCACUCAUUUUGUCAAAGACAAAAAUAUCAAAAAGAUUUUUCUUUGUUUCUUUAAUAAGCUUUCAUAAUUUGAAAAUUUCAAAAAAAGAUUUCUUUUAAUAGGAGCUUUUUAUAAAAUUCAAAAAAUAUGGUAGAAGUUUUGUACAUUUCAUAUAACAAAAAUAACAAAAAGAUUUUCUUUCAUAGCUGUUGGUGUCAUUUUUUAUGUGAAGUGUCAAAUUGAAAACUCAAAAAAAGAUUGUUUUGUUGUUCAUCGUAUGUCUUUGGUCAUGUCUCAAGUCAGGGUGCAAUCUGUGAUUUAAUCAUUAAUUGUCCAAUCUGGACGAACUAAGCACCCCUGAUUCUCCUUUCUCGGGAUUGAGAUACGUAGGCACCCUAUUGUGGUUUCGGGGAUCUUAUUUCAAAAAUCCAAAAAAAAAAAUUCUUCACUUUUCAUUUAGAGUAGGUGUUUCAUGUACAUCUUUAAAAGAAAACAACAAAAAAAAUAUAUCUUCCUUUAAAAGGUUCAAGUUUCAUUUUCGUAUGAAAUUCAAAAUCGAAAAUCCAAAAAUAUUUUCUUCGGUAACCAUAGAUUUCAUUUUGUACAGGAAUCUGAAAAAAUUCAAAAGAUUUUCCUCACUCUUUAUUUAGAGUAAGUAUACAUCUUCAAAAGAAAAAUACAAAAAGAUUUUUCUUUAAUAGGUUCAAGUUUCAUUUUCAUAGGAAAUUCAAAAUCAAAAACCCAAAAAGAUUUUUUUUAGUAAUUAUAGAUUUCAUUUUGUAUAAAGAUUUAAACUUGAAAAAUACAAAACGAUUUUUGUCAAUUCUUUUGACAAUUUGUUAUUUUUUUCUCUUUGAAGUUUCAUGAAAAAGAAUGAAAAAAAGAGAGUUUAAUUGGUCAUUUUGGCAAGACUUCACGAACUAUGCAUACCUGAUUCUCCUCUUUCGGGAGUGAGAUACGUAGGCGCCUUUCUUGGGUUCGGUGAUUUAAAAAAAAAAAAGGGGAAAAGAGGUUUUGAAAAAGUGUUGAACUUUAACACAUUUGUUGUUUUUUGUUGAGUCAGUUUAAGGUGGUUGGUUUCUGGCAUUUUGGUUGAUCCUUCACCUCACACCAAAUCUAAAGGGUUAGUUGUGUCCAACAAUAAAUAAGGAAAAUGAGAGUUUGAAGUAAGAGAUUAGGUGGCUAAGACAACAAAUGAAAGAAAUACAUCGAGCUUGGGCCAGUGGGUUGCCUCCUCUUCCAUUUCCCUUUAUUAAUCCUACAAAUACCUCGAGUUUUCCACCAAAAUCUCAAAUUCAAUUUUCUACUAUUGUUGAUGCACCACAACAUGACUCAGAAUUCAUUCCAAGCCAAAAGCAUCUCAAUACUUCCACCACUUUUUCUCUAGCCCCUCAGCAUAAGCCUGCUACAUUCACAACACCACAUGUCGUCUGUGAUCUUAUUGCUCAAUCCUCUACUAGGACUUCCACACUGUCUUGCCCAACGGUAGGGCGUCCCCAUGUAGCUAGUGAACUUAUAUUUAAUACUCUUGGUGAUCACUGUUAUACUCCUGAGCCUGCUUUUAAGUUAACUGCACCACCAAAAUUUCUUAACAAGAAGUCCAGUGUGCCAAAAGAGUCAGAGAAAAUGGUUGGAAAAAUGAAAAGUGUAGAAAAUGCUAUGAAAAAUUGUCUAGGACCUGCGGGUAAAGAAGAUGUUUCAUACAAAGACUGGGGCAUGCCUUCAAGCGCUAACCUUCCUCCAAUAUUUGAGAUGUCAAAAUUUGAGGAGCAAAAUGGGCAUGAGGAAUCCGUGAAACAUAUGAGACAAUAUUGCAAUCAAUUAAGGGAACCUGGAGGGAAGAAGAAUGAGAAAUAUGGCACUUCUAUUGUAGUUGGAGAACGGGCACAUCCAAGAAUACGAUGUCGUCAUUGCCGUCAGUCUCAAGCCCAAGUUCAUACCCAAGCUCUCCAUAAUCACUCCCAAAAUCCAUUAUACCCUGUUUCCUCACCUCCAUAUCUAGUAUAUUGCACAUAACCAUAUGUUCAACUCCCUCUUUACCCACAAUGGUGUGCACCAACUCCUCAAAGUCAUCCUCUGAUUCCCCAAACAUACCAAAGCCCUUCUAGGCCCGAUGUUCGAUCCAAGUUAAACAAUGGAAUAAGGUAGAAAUUGAGGGAUAGUUUCACACCAACUGGAGAGUCGUAUGCCAGUUUAUUUCAGAGAUUGGCACAAAAAGACAUGAUCACUCCUCUCCUUGGGUAUACUCCUAACCCACAUUCAAGAAGUUUUGAUCCUAAUAUACGAUGUGUAUAUCAUUCUGAUGAUCAGGGUUAUAGUAUUAAGAUUGUCAUUCUUUGAAAAGAGAAAUUAAAAAGAUGAUUUAAGAAAAAUUGAUUAUGGUGCAGAACAUUGACAGUGAGAAUAAAUCUAGUUAUACUGAUAUGCAAACCAGUGGCUAAGAUAUCAGGCUGAGGAAUUGAUAAGUCACCCUUCUCCCUACUAGGAAGAGGUCUGGUAGUUUGUUUUGUUUUAUUUUCUAUUAUCCAAAUUAUUUCAGGGUUGUAGUUCGGGAUCUAUCUUGUUUUGUCCAUUUGUUGUUAUGUUCAAACCCUUCUAUCUUUUAUUUUAAUUAAAUGAAGUGUCCCUUUCUCCUUUGUGUUUUAAAUAUGUUUUUGUUUAUUUUCUUUCCACAUUACACUUUAUGUUGACUCUAGUGAUACGACAUGCUAACGAAAUUUUCAGUCAGAUCUUAAAAUCCAGUUUAAGCAUGAACAUUGAAUCAGAGGGUUAAAGUUAGAAAAAGAGAGCAUCUAAGAAAAUAGGUACAGAGCUGAGACAUUUGGGGACAAGUUCAAGCCUUCUUGGAAAAUUAAGGCAAUUAUUUUGAGAAUCACAAGAAUAACUUGGUCAUUAAUUGAAAGACAUGGCUCAAUUAAGUCAAAGAGUGGCUGCGUGAACAGAAAGAAAAUCAGCUCCACGAAAGCAUGAGUCAUUCGAUGUGAGGAAUGUACAACAAAAGUGGACUGAUAUUGUGAACAAAGUGCAAGAGUAGUGACGCACAGACUCAGUAAAAGUUAAUGUUAAAAAAUGUCACAAAUGAUCAUCAUCUCUCACUUUCAUAUUGCAUUAUAUGUACUUGCAUUUUUAUGGAUUGAUAUGAUGAAGGCAUUUUACUCUGCUAUCCAAACAUUGUGUCAUCCUUUGUUUACCCAAUGUGAGCUUUAGUCUUAUUUUCUUUCAUACCACUCUUUUCGAAUCAAGAUAGAGUCAGCAAAGCUCAAAAGAAAAGUGUCGAGCAAAACAAUAGAGUCAGAAAAAGUUCAAAAAAAAAAGAAGAAAAAAAAAAUAUGUCCAAAAAGAAAAAGAAAAUAAAAGUUCCAAGACAAAUAAAGUCAGAAAAAAAUCCAAAGAGAAAAGAGUGUCAAUAAAAGAAAAAGAAUCAAAAGUGUAAAUCAUGCAAAAUAAGCUGCCAGAACUAUGCAUGACUUGAUUCUUCUCUCUCGGGGGUGAGAUACGUACGCUUCCCUACUAAGGGCUUGGUCCAACCAAAUAAACAAUUUAGAAUUGCCCAGUCAAAAGAAAAUGGGGCAUGAUUUAAUAUUCAUUGUUUGAGUCGAUUCCUAAAGUUGUAAGUCCUACCCCACUUCAAGUGUCGUUUAGGCCUCAUGUUAUCCUUUUCUUCUAACCUUAUCCAAAAGCCAAGCUACAACCAAAGAAAGACCUUUAGAUCAAGCUUUGAGAAUGUUAAGACUAAGCAUGCAAUGAAUAUGAUGACGUAUUUUGGGAACUACUUGUCUACCUCAGCAAUAAGAAUCGGGAGAGAAAUAAAAAUGACAGUCUUAUCAGUGAAAACCCUCAUGGGCACCGUAAGAUGAUGGUAAGCUGAGGGAAAUAAAAAUAAGAGAGUCUUAUUAGUGAAAACCCUCACGAGCACCGUAAGAUGAUGGUAAUCUGAGGGAGAUAAUAAUGAGAGAGUCUUAUCGGUGAAAACCCUCACGGGCACCAUAAGAUGAUGGUAAGCUGAGGGAAAUAAAAAUGAGAGAGUCUUAUCGGUGAAACCCUUACGGGCACUAUAAGAUAAUGGUAAGCUGAGGGAGAUAACAAUGAGAGAGUCUUAUCGGUGAAAACCCUCAUGGGUAUCGUAAGAUGAUAGUAAGCUGAGGGAGAUAACAAUGAGGGAGUCUUAUCAGUGAAAACCUUCACGGGCACUGUAAGACGACGGUGAGUUGAGACAAUAUAGGGCAAUAGUGAGCUGGGAAAAAGAAAAUGAGAGAGGCUUGUUCGCAAAAACCAUUCAAGGGGCCACUAGCCGAAUGAGGUCUUAAAUGCAAUUGGCUUAAGGAAGCAACUCAAUUUCAAGGUCAUAAACUCAACAACUAUUGGUAGAAAGUUUUGGAUAUAAAGAUCAGGCAGUUUAAUUUGAUAUGCAUGGCAUAAUCAUUAGAGUUGACUGUCAUUUUCUCAAUAAACUUUUCUUUCAUCUUUUUCAACGGGGACAUUAAUUAUUAUUUCUUUCUUCUCUUUGGUUAUAUUUUUAUUUUGUUGAGUUAGUUAUCCAAAUAAAACAAAAAUUGUUGUCAUUUUUCUCUUGUCUUUAAGUCAAGUCCAUGUCAAAACAAGUGAGAAAAGAUUUCAAAAUUGGCUACCAGCUUCUUCAAUUGUACAAAGCAAGACAAAGGGCCAGUACAUGAAAGAAAUAAGAUUGCAAGCCAGAACAAGGCAUACAGAAAGUUUUGUCAAUAGAUAAGUCUGGGAACUCAUGGAAAUACUAAGGUUCAAAGGGUUUAUCUAAGGAGCAUGGCGAAGAAGAGCUACUGUGUUUGUUUCAGAGUCAUUGCCAUGAUAAAGCAGGAGCAAGUGCCAGCAAUCUGAAAUAAAAUAAAGGGAAUGAACACUGGAACAGGUGUCAGGUAAGCCAAGUGCUACAAACCACCACUAAGUUUGUAACUGACAAAUUUUCUUUGUUAAAAUAGGGGCAAAUUCGCUUCACUUAAUUCAGCUACCAUAGGAAAUGCACAUCUGUGAGAUUUUACUUUCUGUUCAGGACCCUCCUGAAAAAUGGGAUUUCACUUUCUAUUUAGGACCCUCUUGAAAAAUGGGAUUUUACAUUCUGUUCAGGACCCUCCUGAAGAAUGGGAUUUUACCUUCAGUUCAAGACCCUCCUGAAAAAUGGGAUUUUACUUUAUGUUCAGGACCCUUCUAAAAAAUGGGAUUUUACCUUCAGUUCAGGACCCUCCUGAAAAAUAGGAUUUUACCUUCUGUUCAGGACCCUCUUGAAAAAUGAGAUUUUACCUUUUGUUCAGAACCCUCCUGAAAAAAUGGGAUUUUGCCUUUUGUUCAGGACCCUCCUAAAAAAUGGGAUUUUACUUUAUGUUUAGGACCCUCCUAAAAAUUAGGAUUUUACCUUCAAUUUAAGACCCUCCUAAAAAAAAUGAGAUUUUACCUUCUAUUUAGGACCCUCCUGAAAAAUGGGAUUUUACCUUCUGUUCAGGACCCUCCAGAAAAAUGGGAUUUAACCUUCUGUUCAGGACCCUCCUAAAAAAUAAAAUUUUACCUUCUGUUUAGGACCCUCUUGAAAAAUGAGAUUUUAUCUUCUGUUCAGGACCCUACUGAAAAAUGGGAUUUUACAUUCUGUUCAGGACCCUCCUGAAAAAUGGGAUUUUACUUUAUGUUUAGGACCCUUCUGAAAAAUGGGAUUUCACUUUAUGUUCAGGAUCCUCCUGAAAAAUGGGAUUUUACCUUCUGUUCAAGACCCUCCUGAAAAAUGGGAUUUUACCUUCUAUUUAGGACCCUCCUGAAAAAUGGGAUUUCACUUUAUGUUCAGGACCCUCCUGAAAAAUUGGAUUUCACUUUCUGUUCAGUACUCUCCUGAAAAAUAGGAUUUUACUUUCUUUUCAGGACUCUCCUGAAAAAUGGGACUUUACUUCCUGUUAGGACCCUCCUGGAAAAUGGGACUUUACUUUUUGUUCAAUACCCUCCUGAAAAAUUGGAUUUUACUUUCUGUUCAGGACUCUCCCAGAAAAUGGGAUUUUACUUUCUGUUCAGGACCCUCCUGAAAAAUGAGAUUUUACUUUCUGUUUAGGGCCCUCCUGGAGAAUGGGACAUUACUUUCAGAAAAAAUGAAAUCUUUCUUUAUCAUAAUCUUUGUUUGGGAUAAUUUUUGUUCCAGUUUUAAUUAUGAUUUCAAAAGCCCGCCUGAAGAAUAGGGUGAUGGAACUGCAAGUCAGGAGCCCGCUUGAAGAAUAGGUUGAUGAAGCUGUAAGUCAGGAGCCCGCCUGAAGAAAAGGGUGAUGAAAUUGAAAGACAAAUAUGGCAAGUUAGAAGACCGCCUAAAGAGUAGGGCGAAUAAAUAAAAGUCCAGCAACAUGGUGAAAAAGUUGAAAGUCAAGCGACAAGGUGAAAAAAUUGAAAGUUAAACAGUUGAUGAGAUAGCAAGUCAGCAACCCGCCUGAAGAAUAGGGUAAAGAAAUUUAAAACCAAGCAAUAAUUUGAAUAAAUAGAAAGUGAGGAACCCGCC
rnacentral:lncRNA from 1 species